AUGUCAUCUCGGGCUCCGGGGGAUCGUAGCAUAUGGGACGCGAUAUGGAAGGCGAAGAUACCUGAGAAGGUCAAGAUUUUCGGAUGGAGAGUUGCCACAAACUCGCUAGCGACAAAACAUAAUGCGUUCAGGAGAACGAUAGCUGACGAUAGUGUGUGUGAGGUCUGUGGGAGUGGGAAUGAAGAUGAGCACCACGCCGUUGUCGCAUGUACCAGAAGCUCAGCCCUACGGCAAGAAAUGAGAUCUUAUUGGUAGCUACCAAAGGAAUCUGCUCUCACAUACACAGGAGAGGACUGGUUACAGCUGGUGCUACUAUCUCAGGGAGAAGAAACUAGGACCAAGCUAAUGCUAAUUCUGUGGCAAGCUUGGAGCCUUAGAAACAAUGCGAUUCACGGUGAUGGGAAAGAUACG
rnacentral:rRNA from 1 species